rfam:Methanosarcina sp. MTP4, complete genome.
UAGUCUGACGCCAAGGUUCCGGACGACCAGGCUGGACACGAAAAGACAAUGACCUGUCUUCUUCCUGCCCUCUCUGGUGCAAACACUCUCUACGGUGCCG